CUUUAAAAUUAUUAAGCUAUGAACACAAAGAGAAAAUAUGAUAACAAUUUCUAUUUGUUUAUGUAAAACACUUCCUGGUUACUCACACUGUAGCAGCUGUAUUCUGAUAAUGGCAUGUUUUUUGAUAAAAAGCAGAAAAUUGGCAUUUUCUGAACUAUUUUUACAAACCCCAGCACCACAAUACCAGUUUGGACUGAGGCAUCAGUUUUUAGGAGAUACCAUUUAAUUAUCUUCAUUUUCUUUGGUGCCUGCCUCAAUAUCUACUGUAUAGGCAUUUAAGACCUUAGCCCUUAACUACCCCUUUGGACAUGAGAAAAAUUCACAGUUCUCACGUAAAAAAAAUUGUAGGUCCCUACCCGGUACAGAAACCACACCUGUGAAGAAAACAGCCUGACUACAAAAGAUUUAGCAGCAUGAGCUACAACUCAAUGCAAGUAAGAGGCCAAAUUUAGAUACCAAACCAAUAUUACAUGGAGGAGAUGAUUAUACAGGGAUUUUGAAGAGUUAAUGUGGUGUGUCAAUAAAGAAGUGAAUUUAUAGCGCACCAAUUCAAAAAUGCGGAAGUGUACACUCAUUACUUUCAUUCAUACUACAGUCAGUCGCACUACCUCUCUACCUGAAAUGGGAGUCAUUAUUUUGUGACUUUAAACUAUUCUACUUUUGUUUUUCAGUGACCCACAUUUCACUGGUCCAAUUAUCCUGUUCAACUCAAAUACCAAGAUCCAGUUGCGUGAACGCCUACCCACCCACUACUUUUAAGUUCACACGUAGCUACGAAGUGAGUACUCUCGCCCCUAAUACGCGGUUUUCUGCCCGUUCCCACGCACGACAGCCAGUGUCGAGGCCUGGAGGUGCCUCGGCCUCCAGAGCCUUCCUGAAACGCCACAAAGCAGGCGCCACAACACCGGGCAGAUCCAAAUCCGCGAGGAGAGAAAGGAACUGGGCCACUUCAGUGCAAAGUAAUAAGGCUUCGCAUUUCUACAAAUCAGAACAACAAACCAAGACUCUUGAUGUCACUGUGAAGUGUGCCCCUGCUUGGGUGACCUCUACAUCUGGCUGAGGGAUAAAUCCUUGCAUCCGCUGAGUGAGAGCUAGGCUAUACUUCAUUUGCAGCUGGCUAAUUAGUAGAAGAGGCCCCAGGGUAGCCAUGCUCCACUUAAAAUAAAAAUCUUUCAAACUUCUAAAACA
ensembl:lncRNA